rnacentral:lncRNA from 1 species
AGGCAGUCCUCGACUCUGGCUGGCAUCAAUUUAUUUUCAAUAAAGCAAAGCAAACAUUAUGAUGUAUUGGUCAUGAGUUAACUUUCUGAAUUGCAGGUAGAAGGAAAUGAACUGGAUAUCAACAAGCAUGGAGACAGGGAAUCCACUAGCGAGAAAACGUCUCCUUGGCCUCUGCAGUUCGUGCACGUUCCUGUAUUGAGUACCGACUGUAUACCAAGCCCUGAGCUAGGUGCUGAGGAUUCAAAGAGGCUGAGACAUGGCAGAAGGAGGCUGGACUAUAUUCAGAUUUGCCCAGAUUCCAACUUUUGUGCUCAGCACUACCUCCACCAUGGAAAUAAUUUUGCUUCAUUCUCCCAGAGCAGCCCCGGCAGGCAUCUGUGUUGUCAGCGUUGCAGGAAGAGUGAUGGCCACGGUGUUGACAAGCUCCUAAUUGGAAGGGCUGCACGGCAUGUCAAGACCCGUGGCCCUGUGCUGGUCCACAUACUAAAGAAACGUGAGUGAUGGGGCACCUGGGUGGCUCAGUGGGUUAAGCCGCUGCCUUCGGCUCGGGUCAUGAUCUCAGGGUCCUGGGAUCGAAUACAGCAUUGGGCUCUCUGCUCAGCGGGGAGCCUGCUUCCCUCUCUCUCUCUGCCUGCCUCUCUGCCUACUUGUGAUCUUUCUCUGUCAAAUAAAUAAAUAAAAUCUUUAAAAAAAAAAAAGAAAGAAAGAAAGAAAGAAAGAAACGUGAGUGAUUAGAAACCCCAAAGGGAAGCUGGUCCGCCUGUGCCUCUUCUCUAGAUAAUCCCCUCCUGGUGGCCAAACUCCCUCGCACACUCUGCUAACUCUGACCCCCUCCUCGACAUUUACCCGCCACCCCGUGAUGGGACCCUGCUGGUCCCAGUCCCUAAUUGGAGGUGAUGAGCCAUUUUCCUACCCACCACCCUGCAGAUAAUGGUGACAUCUAGAGCUCGAGGAUUGGGACUAAGGGCUCACAACUCGAUUACACCAGGAAAAUAGCAGAAGCAGCAGAGGAAAUGUCCAAGGUUCUACAGGCCCAUAUGACAAACAGAGGCGGCCCUUGAGGGUUUCGCUGAAGGGCAAAAAUCCCUAAGAGCCUACCCGGCACAUAACGCACCAGCUCCAGGUGGCUGGCUGCCCAGGAGCACGUAUGUGCUCUCAGGGGAACUUCCUGCUCUAUACGGAUAAAUAAAGUCAUCCAAAUCGCCCCACAAAUGCAACACCAAACCCAAACCAAAUUUUGCAUGAAGUACUCUGAACUUCCCAGGAACUUGGAUGUCCCCUGCAGGCUGAUGUGACCUUGU